rnacentral:lncRNA from 1 species
CGUGUGAGAGAGAGAGAGACUUCCUCCCCUUACAUGAAAUAAGAAGUAUCACAUACUUUGAAUAUUUAUUUUUCCUACAACUUAUAAGGAUUUUGCCCUUCUUGAAAAAUAUAAUAUUUUUUAUAAUUCUAAUCGACAAUUCUAUUUUUUAGUAAUGAAAAACUUGUUAUUCUUAACCCUUAGGCUCAAGAAACUCGUUAUUCACUUAUGACAUAACCAUGAGUUGCUCAACAAACUGAUAUGAUCCUGAGUUUGCUCUACUGCUUCUGCAGAAGUCAGGAGGAAUUCCCUUGCCAGUGCUGUACGGAUGAAUCUGGGAAGCUGCUGGUAAUUAAACACUGCUGUUGGUCGUUGCUGCUUGGAUCUGCUCAUCCAACAAAGAUGAAUUAUAUGCCAAUCAAUUCUAGAACUGAGGAAUGUAAUAGGAUUGCAUAUUCAUA